UUGCUAGCAAUUUGAUUCUGUACAAGAUUUCUUCUCGUGUUUUGGUUGGUUAUUCGACUUGCUUAUCUGUCGAUGUAAAUGAACUUCUUAGUUUGGGCACCUUUUAUGAUUGUGAAUGAACAGGAGAAAUCAGUUCAACCUUUUCACUUUCAGUUUUUGGUCUUUUAUGCCCCAAUUUUCUCCUCGGCUAAAAGUGACUUGAAAAAUCCCGGGAGGACCUGAUGCGGGAGCCUAUACAGCAAGACAUUCUCCGAAGAACAUACCAAGCCUGUGAACUGUAUCAACCCUUCCUGAAUGCAACCGAUUGACAAUGCAGCGUUCUUUAUGAGCAGGUGAUAACUGUGUAACUUCGUCAUAUGUUGUCGUUUGCUUGAACAGACUUUAUUCGGUCUCUAACAGAAAUUUCGAAAGCAGCUGGGUACAUUAUGUAAAGUUGGCAAAGUGGGAGGGGGAAAGAGAAGUGAGGUGGGAUGUAUUGGAGUGUAAUGAACAAAAGUUAAG
rnacentral:lncRNA from 1 species